GAGAUGACGGCUACCAAUGGAUUUGGUCCGCAACCAUCUGAACUUUGACGGGCCUCCACUUGGUGAUGGGCGGGCAGCCCAGCUACGGAUAGAACCAGUAGCAUGGCGUGAAUGGAUACCACCACAGCAAACAUCUAAUACACAAUAUGUGGGCUGAUUUUACGGACCGUUUGGUUUGACCGGCGGAUUGAUGUCGUGUGCAGUGUCCAUCGAUGUUGUCCGUUUUUAUAUACAGUACCUGUUGCUACUUGAGGUAAACAUGUGGUGAUUGGACUUUCGGGAUUAAUGAAGCACUCGAUAGGACUGGAACUGUUAACUGCCCAACAAGAACUCCAGUAAUAUCUAAUGACUGAUUGGCCAUAGGUAUAGGGAGCGCAAUCAACGUACCCGAUCAAGGUGAUUGUUUCCUCUUUUAUUUUUAUUUUAUUGACGUCAAAAUCAGCAAAAUAAAAAGGGGAAAAAAAAAGAACAAGAAAACACACGCAAGAUAUUAAGGGUGGUGGUGAUGACGACGUAAUGGGAAAGGACAAUAUAGCAGAAUCAAAAACUGUAUAGAUAUAUACACACCAAGCACGCGACGCACACACACACACACGCACAAGAAUUUUUACUUAAUAUUUUUUUUUUUGUUGAGCAAAAUGGAGCGGACGCAGCGAACGAAUAAAAACAUCAUCAGCAACAACAACCAUGGACGGAAUUUUCCUCAGUUUUUUCUGUUUUUAAACUAAGAUGCAAUAAAAGUCGAGUAUAAUAUUGAAUGAAUAUAUAUAUCCAUCGGGUAUGUAAUUGGUUAAAGGAAAAACUAAAUGUGAAUUAGCCCAAUAGCUGAUUGCUGGUUAUGAAUGAUGCAACUUUCAGGUACCGUACUGUGUGGGUCAAUGGGCGGGGUGGGAUAAAGGGAAUCUUAGUAGGUUUCUUUUUUCUUUCUUAAAUUCAAUUUGCCUCUUUUACAUACGAAAUCACGAAAAAAAAGUAGCAACGUAUCAACCAAAUGGUGAUUUCUUGUUACCUCGGCGUUUAAUAUUUUUUUUUUCUUUUAUGUUUCUUUUUUAAUAUAUAAAAUGACAUGUGAAAAUGAUGGGACGCGCAAUAACCACAAAUAAGUUUGGUUAUGUUUUUCUAAUGCUAAACAGAGGGAAAGCGAAAAAAAAAAAAAUAUUUAGGGGAAGACACGAAUUAAAAA